rnacentral:lncRNA from 1 species
ACUAAAAUUUAUUAUAUAGAACUGGUCUAGAAUAUUUUAUAGGUAAAACAAUUUUUUUUGUUUUAGUUUGAACUCGACAUUGGAUCCUCCUCAAAAUUCCAUCUUUAAUUUCUAUCUUCAAUGAGUAAUGGAGAACAUUUUGAAAUAUAACAAAGGUUUUCUAUCCUGUUCAUCACCAGAAAUAAUCCCUUAACAAAAAACUCUUCCGUAGAUUGUGAAGAUCAGAUCUGAUUCAGAAAGGCAGGGUGGCAGGUAUGCAGAGAAUCAUAUAAUCUAUCUUGAUGAUACAAUUCCACUGAGUCCUGGCUAUAACACUUUCGAUGUCCACAUCACUAGUUGCAGUCCUACAAGCACGGAAGGGUGGAUGCUGUGGGGGGGUCCAGGCAGCUCUGUGGAACAGUCUCCAAUGGGCUAGUAGGAUGAGAAGGUCCAGGGGUAGUUUGGGAAUCGAGGAGAAACAUCACCUCUCAAGACGGUAAACCUACUGAAAAGACUAUUCAAACUCCAGAAGGAC